rnacentral:rRNA from 1 species
UACGGAGGGUGCGAGCGUUGUCCGGAAUCACUGGGCGUAAAGGGCGCGUAGGCGGCCUGAUAAGUAUGGGGUGAAAUCCUGCGGCUUAACCGCAGGGCUGCCUUCUAAACUGUCAGGCUCGAGCACAGUAGAGGCAGGUGGAAUUCCCGGUGUAGCGGUGGAAUGCGUAGAGAUCGGGAAGAACAUCAGUGGCGAAGGCGGCCUGCUGGGCUGUUGCUGACGCUGAGGCGCGACAGCGUGGGGAGCAAACAGG